UACGGGGGGGGUAAGCGUUGUUCGGAAUUACUGGGCGUAAAGGGCUCGUAGGCGGCCAACUAAGUCAUACGUGAAAUCCCUCAGCUUAACUGGGGAACUGCGUGGUGAUACUGGAUGGCUUGGAUUUGGGAGAGGGAUGCGGAAUUCCAGGUGUAGCGGUGAAAUGCGUAGAUAUCUGGAGGAACACCGGUGGCGAAGGCGGCAUCCUGGACCAAUAUUGACGCUGAGGAGCGAAAGCCAGGGGAGGCAAAACGGGG
rnacentral:rRNA from 1 species